ACUAUCCUUUUCUUGGGGUUGUGCUACUGUCCAAUGAACGCAUAGUGAGGGCAAUACUGCUAACACCUGACAACACACCUGCAUCGUUUAGAGCUCUGCUUUACCUUGGUGCAAUUUAAAAAAAA